rnacentral:rRNA from 1 species
UCAAGCGAACAAGGGCGCAGGGCGAAUGCCUUGGCACUGGGAGCCGAUGAAAGACGUGAUAAGCUGCGAUAAGCUUCGGGGAGCUGCAAAUAAGCAUUGAUCCGGAGAUUUCUGAAUGAGGAAACUCACCUGGGUUCAUACUCAGGUACGUUAUACUGAACUUAAAAAUAGGUAUAUCGAGGGAACCGCCUGAACUGAAACAUCUAAGUAGGGCGAGGAAGAGACAUCAAACGAGAUUCCGUAAGUAGUGGCGAGCGAACGCGGAAGAGGGCAAACCGGAAGUAGAAAUACUUCCGGGGUACGGACCGCAUUUAGGACUUGAGUUGUUAACCGAACGGCAUGGGAAGGCCGGUCAGAGAGUGUGAGAACCACGUAGGUGAAAACGACAAGAGCUGAGCGAGUUCCAGAGUACGGCCAGACACGUGAAACCUGGUCGGAAUACGGGGGGACCACCCUCCAACCCUAAAUACUACCCAGUGACCGAUAGCGUAUAGUACUGUGAAGGAAAGGUGAAAAGCACCCCGGGAGGGGAGUGAAAAAGAACCUGAAACCCUGUGCCUACAAGCACCUAGAGCACGUCAAAGUGUGAUAGGGUACUUUUUGUAGAACGGUCCGGCGAGCGAUUGUAUGCAGCAAGGUUAAGGACUUAAGGUCUGGAGCCGAAGCGAAAGCGAGUUUGAAAAGGGCGUUAAGUUGCAUACAAUGGGCCCGAAACCGGGUGACCUACCCAUGGUCAGGUUGAAGUGGAAGUAAAAUUCCAUGGAGGACCGAACCGACCUCCGUUGAAAAGGCGGCGGAUGAACUGUGGGUAGCGGAGAAAUUCCAAUCGAACCCGGAGAUAGCUGGUUCUCCCCGAAAUAGUUUUAGGACUAGCCUCAAGUUAGAUACCUGGAGGUAAAGCACUGAAUAGCCUAGCGGCCGAGAGGUUAGCGAAGCUUAUCAAACUCAGAAUGCCAGAGUAUUGAUGCUUGGGAGUCAGACAGUGUCAGAUAAAUGUCAUUGUCAAAAGGGAAACAGCCCAGAUCUACAGCUAAGGUCCCAAAGUCAGGUUAAGUGGAAAACGAUGUGAAGAUACGUAGACAACCAGGAUGUUGGCUCAGAAGCAGCCACACAUUCAAAGAGUGCGUAAUAGCUCACUGGUCGAGCGUCUUUGCGCGGAGAAUUUAACGGGGCUAAACCUGACACCGAAGCUUAGGCAAUACAGCAAUGUAUUGGGUAGGGGAGCGUUGUAUACGCGGUGAAACAGUAGCGCAAGCGGCUGUGGAGUGUAUAGAAGUGAGAAUGCCGGAAUGAGUAGCGCGAAUGCAGUGAGAAUCUGCAUGGCCGAAAGCCUCAGGUUUCUGGAGGAAGGUUCGUCCGCUCCAGGUUAGUCGGGAGCUAAGGUGAGGCCUAACGGCGUAGCCGAUGCACAGACGGUAGAGAUUCCGUCACCACCAAAAGAGUUAAACACAGGGACACAUAUGAAGUCUCGGAGCCGGGUGUUGGUUCCGGUAGCGAUCGAGGGAAGUUAGUACCGAAGUCCGGGAUGGAAGAUGGCGAGAAAAGCUGUGUGUAUUUCUGCGGUGCCCGUACCGCAAACCGACACAGGUAGGUAGGAAGAAGAUUCUAAGGCCAACGGGAGAAGGGUUGUUAAGGAACUCGGCAAAUUGACCCCGUAACUUCGGGAGAAGGGGUGCUCCAGAGAUGGAGCCGCAGAGAAUCGGCCCAAGCAACUGUUUACCAAAAACACAGGUUUGUGCUAAAUCGAAAGAUGACGUAUACGAGCUGACGCCUGCCCGGUGCUGGAAGGUUAAGAGGAGAUGUACAAGCAUUGAAUCGAAGCCCCAGUGAACGGCGGCCGUAACUAUAACGGUCCUAAGGUAGCGAAAUUCCUUGUCAGGUAAGUUCUGACCCGCA